UUGAAUUCAGUGCUUAAGUUCUACUACUAGGUUUGCCAUAGCUGAGAUGCCAAAUGAAACAACUUCUCUGGGAAAGACAUGUUUUCUCUCAUAAUAUUAGAACCUAAGGUCCUCCAGUGAUGCUGAAUGGGUGCUGUAGGUCCUCUUCUUUGGUGUUGUCUAAGCAGCCACACCAGACUCAGGAGCCCCCAAAUUUGAGUCCUGGACCUGAAAAUACCACCUUGGCAGUAGAAUUGAGGCUGAGACACGUUUGUGGGUAUGAAUUUCCAGAAGCAUCUGAUCCACCCACC